AUUUUUCAGUGUAUCACAACCUAACGAGAAACAUAGCCCUCGAGCAUAGUUUUUUUUAUUUAAAUGGGGGAUGAAAGGUCCCCACCUGAUUCAUUGGCCCCAAAAAUUUAGUACGAGUACAAGGACCUAGGAGACCCAAGUUCAGACAGAGAUACAUCGUAGUUGUUCGAGCAUGAAAGCAAAGAAAAAGAAGAGGAAAAGGAGAAAAAAGAGGGAAAGGGGUUGUGCUACAUUUGUGCAGAGACGGAGCACCAGGAAAUAUCCGCGCUAGAUUCCUAGGCAUGCAUCCUGCAUCCCCGUGUUAAUUUUCCAAUGCAUCCCACUCUCACGAUCGAGAAAUAUAUAUAGCUCUUAGCUACAAUUGGCGUUGCAUUCAUUGCCAUAUCAGGGGGAAAUUCUAG
rnacentral:lncRNA from 7 species